rnacentral:rRNA from 1 species
AUACGUAAGUUGCGAGCGUUAUUCGGAAUUACUUGGGUGUAAAGGAAGCGCAGGCGGGAGAUCAAGUCAGCGGUGGAAUGUAUGGGCUUAACCCAUGAACUGCCGUUGAAACUGAUUUUCUUGAGUGAGGUAGAGGUCAGCGGAAUUUCCAGUGUAGCAGUGAAAUGCGCAGAGAUUGGAAAGAACAUCAGUGGCGAAGGCGGCUGACUGGGCCUUAACUGACGCUGAGGCUUGAAAGUGUGGGUAGCAAACAGGAUUAGAUACCCUGGUAGUCCACACCCUAAACGAUGAAUGCUAGGUGUAGGGGGACUGAACCCUUCUGUGCCGGAGUUAACACAUUAAGCAUUCCACCUGGGGAGUACGAUCGCAAGAUUAAAACUCAAAGGAAUUGACGGGG